rnacentral:tRNA from 1 species
AAAUCGUGAGGGUUCAAGGCCCUCUAUUCCCAAAAAGACCAUUUGACUCCCUAAUUAUUUAU